ensembl:misc_RNA Vault Vault RNA
GGGUCGGCUUUAGCUCAAGCGGUUACUUCGUUUCAGCAACAAAUCCCAACCAUGGGGUUCGAGACCCGCGGGUGCUUUCUGACCCUUUU